rnacentral:rRNA from 1 species
UACGUAGGUGGCAAGCGUUGUCCGGAUUUACUGGGCGUAAAGAGCGCGCAGGCGGUCGAAUAAGUCGAAUGUGAAAGCCCCCGGCUUAACUGGGGAGGGUCAUUCGAUACUGCUCGACUUGAAGGCAGGAGAGGGUAGUGGAAUUCCCGGUGUAGUGGUGAGAUGCGUAGAUAUCGGGAGGAACACCAGUGGCGAAGGCGACUACCUGGCCUGUUCUUGACGCUGAGGCGCGAAAGCUAGGGUAGCAAACGGG